UACGUAGGUGACAAGCGUUGUCCGGAUUUACUGGGCGUAAAGAGCGCGCAGGCGGUCGUUCAAGUCGAGUGUGAAAGCCCCCGGCUCAACUGGGGAGGGUCACUCGAUACUGAUCGACUCGAAGGCAGGAGAGGGAAGUGGAAUUCCCGGUGUAGUGGUGAAAUGCGUAGAUAUCGGGAGGAACACCAGUGGCGAAGGCGACUUCCUGGCCUGUUCUUGACGCUGAGGCGCGAAAGCGUGGGGAGCGAACAGG
rnacentral:rRNA from 1 species